UACGUAGGGUGCGAGCGUUGCCCGGAUUUAUUGGCGUAAAGGGCGCGUAGGCGGCUGUGACAAGCACUUCGUGAAAUCGUCCGGGCUUAACUCGGAACGGUCAAGUGAUACUGUCGUGCGUAGAGGUACAGGAAGGGGCAACUGGAAUUCACGGUGUAGCGGUGAAAUGCGGAUAGCAUAUCGGAGAGGAACGACCAUCGCGGGCGAAGGCGGGUUGCUGGGCUGAUAACUGACGCUGGAGGCGACGAAAGCUACGGGGAGCGAACGGG
rnacentral:rRNA from 1 species